rnacentral:ncRNA from 1 species
CAGCCCAAAUCGGGCGGUAGACUCCGUCCAAGGCUAAAUACAUGCGAGAGACCGAUAGCGAACAAGUACCGCGAGGGAAAGAUGAAAAGGACUUUGAAAAGAGAGUCAAAGAGUGCUUGAAAUUGCCGG